GACGAACGCUGGCGGCGUGCUUAACACAUGCAAGUCGAACGGAAAGGCCCUGCUUUUGUGGGGUGCUCGAGUGGCGAACGGGUGAGUAACACGUGAGUAACCUGCCCUUGACUUUGGGAUAACUUCAGGAAACUGGGGCUAAUACCGGAUAGGAGCUCCUGCUGCAUGGUGGGGGUUGGAAAGUUUCGGCGGUUGGGGAUGGACUCGCGGCUUAUCAGCUUGUUGGUGGGGUAGUGGCUUACCAAGGCUUUGACGGGUAGCCGGCCUGAGAGGGUGACCGGCCACAUUGGGACUGAGAUACGGCCCAGACUCCUACGGGAGGCAGCAGUGGGGAAUAUUGCACAAUGGGCGGAAGCCUGAUGCAGCAACGCCGCGUGCGGGAUGACGGCCUUCGGGUUGUAAACCGCUUUCGCCUGUGACGAAGCGUGAGUGACGGUAAUGGGUAAAGAAGCACCGGCUAACUACGUGCCAGCAGCCGCGGUGAUACGUAGGGUGCGAGCGUUGUCCGGAUUUAUUGGGCGUAAAGGGCUCGUAGGUGGUUGAUCGCGUCGGAAGUGUAAUCUUGGGGCUUAACCCUGAGCGUGCUUUCGAUACGGGUUGACUUGAGGAAGGUAGGGGAGAAUGGAAUUCCUGGUGGAGCGGUGGAAUGCGCAGAUAUCAGGAGGAACACCAGUGGCGAAGGCGGUUCUCUGGGCCUUUCCUGACGCAGAGGAGCGAAAGCGUGGGGAGCGAACAGGCUUAGAUACCCUGGUAGUCCACGCUGUAAACGGUGGGUACUAGGUGUGGGGUCCAUUCCACGGGUUCCGUGCCGUAGCUAACGCUUUAAGUACCCCGCCUGGGGAGUACGGCCGCAAGGCUAAAACUCAAAGGAAUUGACGGGGCCCCGCACAAGCGGCGGAGCAUGCGGAUUAAUUCGAUGCAACGCGUAGAACCUUACCUGGGUUUGACAUGGAUCGGGAGCGCUCAGAGAUGGGUGUGCCUCUUUUGGGGUCGGUUCACAGGUGGUGCAUGGCUGUCGUCAGCUCGUGUCGUGAGAUGUUGGGUUAAGUCCCGCAACGAGCGCAACCCUUGUUCACUGUUGCCAGCACGUUAUGGUGGGGACUCAGUGGAGACCGCCGGGGUCAACUCGGAGGAAGGUGGGGAUGACGUCAAGUCAUCAUGCCCCUUAUGUCCAGGGCUUCACGCAUGCUACAAUGGCUGGUACAGAGAGUGGCGAGCCUGUGAGGGUGAGCGAAUCUCGGAAAGCCGGUCUCAGUUCGGAUUGGGGUCUGCAACUCGACCUCAUGAAGUCGGAGUCGCUAGUAAUCGCAGAUCAGCAACGCUGCGGUGAAUACGUUCCCGGG
rnacentral:rRNA from 1 species